UUUUUCCUCCGGCUCCUUUUAUACAGACUUUUUCCCUCACUGUUCCGACCAACUUGGUACUCCCGGAAUAUUUCUCUGGUCACUUUCAUUCCCUACUGUCCACUUAGUCAGCACUUCUCUUCACUGCUUCACUGCUUCACUGCUUAACCACAGCAGACUUGCAGAAGAGAUCUACCACUACUGUUUGCCUAUUCAAGUUUGACCCUACUUCGGUUCAGAGGUUUUGAACUAUUGCUUUUCGCCGGAAAUUUUUCCGGCAACUCCUGCGCUUUUCUUUCUAUUAUCUUCUCUGCUUUUGUGGGUGUGUGUGGGUGUGUUUUUGUUUUCUUGGACAGGUGCCUAUCCUACCGGCGAGGAGGCUUUUGUGGGUGUGUUUUUGUUUUCUUGGAUAGGUGCCUAUUCUACCGGCGAGGAUUCCCGGCAAGCCACAGUAUCCUCGGUGACUCCCAUUCAGACUCGCGGCAGGACGCAAUAGAACCACACGUUCUGAUAAGCUUCAGGAGAACUUGGGCACAUCAAAGCAUACUUUCAGGUUUUCCUACCAGGAGUUGGUACCUCCCGCUCUCUUGUUCACUUUGUGCACCUUCUUACGUAUUUAGCUAACAUUUCGAGUGCGGUCUAUUCUGUUGUUAUCUAGCUUGCACCUUUUUGCGUAUUUCAUUUUAGUGUGUGCGUGCGCCACUGUUCCCCAUAGUUGGUCGGAGGGAUAGUGGCCGCGGCGGGGGAUGAUAGCGUAAGGUCAUGUCCUCGGAGGGUGGGGGUGGUGGCGGGAGUGAUUAGGGGAGCAGGGGGUGGUCUUGCGGGUAGGGCGGGAGGUAAGGGUGGGAAGAGGGUAGCGGGCGCCCAUAGAUUAAGGAUUGUGUCAUGGAACAUAGGCACUCUGACGGGUAAGUCCAUAGAGUUGGCGAAGGUUCUUCAGAGGAAGAGGGUUAACAUAGCGUGUGUCCAGG
rnacentral:lncRNA from 1 species